CCUACGGGUGGCAGCAGUGGGGAAUAUUGCGCAAUGGACGAAAGUCUGACGCAGCGACGUCGCGUGAGGGAUGAAGGUCUUCGGAUCGUAAACCUCUGUCAGCAGGGAAGAACGGUCACUGUGCUAAUCAGCAGUGAAUUGACGGUACCUGCAAAGGACGCACCGGCUAACUCCGUGCCAGCAGCCGCGGUAAUACGGAGGGUGCGAGCGUUAAUCGGAAUUACUGGGCGUAAAGCGCUCGUAGGCGGUAUGUCAAGUCAAGGGUGAAAUCCCCGCGCUCAACGUGGGAAUUGCCGUUGAAACUGGCAAACUUGAGUAUGUGAGAGGAUAGUGGAAUUCCAGGUGUAGGAGUGAAAUCCGUAGAUAUCUGGAGGAACAUCAGUGGCGAAGGCGACUAUCUGGCACAUAACUGACGCUGAGGAGCGAAAGCGUGGGUAGCAAACAGGAUUAGAUACCCCUGUAGUC
rnacentral:rRNA from 1 species